ACAAAACCUCACAGGCGGGGUGGCUUUAACAGCAGAAACUCCUUUUCUCAUGAUUCUAGAGGUUGGAAAGUCCAAGACCAAGUUGUCGGCAGGGCUGGUUUCUUCUGAGGCCACUCUCCUUGGCUCCUCACUGUGCCUUCACAUGUUUGUUUGUUUGUUUUUCUGUGGGUGCACACCCUGGCAUCUAUGUGUCCAAAUCUCCUCUUCAGGGACACCAGUAUAAUUAGAUUAGGGCUGCCCUAAUGGCUGCCUUUUAACUUAACCACCUGUUUAAAGGCCCUGUCUCCAAAUAUAGUCACAUCUUGCGGGACUGGAGGUUAGAGAGUCAACAUGUGAAUUUUGGGUGGAGACACAAUUUGGUCCAUAACAUGAACCCACUGCAAAGAUUUCCCAUUCCAUUAAGGGAUCAUGAACCUAACCUGUGAAAUGUUUUUCAAUCUAGAGCUACGUUCUUUGGUCUCUACUUGAAUAUCUCUGGCCAAUUGUCUUCCAAGGGAUCCCAUCGUUGUGCCACCACUAUACCAACCACUUGCCGACUUCAUGCUCUGUGGCAGUCCCCAUGCUGAGCACCGUUCCUUCUCUGCCUCAUUCAGUUGUCGCAACCACCCAACAAAGCUUCGUAGGUGAAAGUUGCAGCCAGGGUUUGCGAACCCUUGUGUUCAUGGCGACCAAGCAGGUGACCCAAAGGCAGGAGCUUCUGGAAAGUGUCGUGCAUGGCACCUGCCACCAGAGGGGGCAAUUCAUAAACGGUAGCAGGUAGGACUGCAACCUUGGAGAGGAGGAAGAGGAGGCAAGAUGGAAUUAAGAGGAAGAGGAGACCUUGGGCCCCAACUUCUCAGGAAACAGUGCCCUCCCAAUCUGUUCCCAAUCUCCUAGGCUUCAUCAAGUCCACGCUUGGACACAGCCCUGCUCCAAGAGGAGGUUCCAGGUUCCAUGAAUCUGUAAUAACCCCCCUGGUGUCAGACUCUCUCUUUGGGUGAUACCCCAAAUGGUUGUCCUUCUUCAUCUUUGGUUGUUGACCAUAAAGUGUUUUUCUUCUGUUAAUUAUUUGUGUCAAGCAUAAGAAUAAACAACAUAUUAAAAUAAUUCA
rnacentral:lncRNA from 12 species